rnacentral:rRNA from 1 species
CCUACGGGAGGCAGCAGUGAGGAAUAUUGGUCAAUGGACGCAAGUCUGAACCAGCCAUGCCGCGUGCAGGAAGACGGCUCUAUGAGUUGUAAACUGCUUUUGUACGAGGGUAAACGCAGAUACGCGUAUCUGUCUGAAAGUAUCGUACGAAUAAGGAUCGGCUAACUCCGUGCCAGCAGCCGCGGUAAUACGGAGGAUUCAAGCGUUAUCCGGAUUUAUUGGGUUUAAAGGGUGCGUAGGCGGUCGGAUAAGUUAGAGGUGAAAUCCCGGGGCUCAACUUCGGAAUUGCCUCUGAUACUGGUCGGCUAGAGAGUAGUUGCGGUAGGCGGAAUGUAUGGUGUAGCGGGGAAAUGCUUAGAUAUCAUACAGAACACCGAUUGCGAAGGCAGCUUACCAAGCUACUUCUGACGUUGAGGCACGAAAGCGUGGGGAGCAAACAGGAUUAGAUACCCUUGUAGUC